CCUACGGGAGGCAGCAGUAGGGAAUCUAUCACAAUGGGCGAAAGCCUGAUGGAGCAACGCCGCGUGCAGGAUGAAGGCCUUCGGGUUGUAAACUGCUUUUAUAAGCGAGAAAUAUGAUGGUAACUUAUGAAUAAGGAUCGGCUAACUACGUGCCAGCAGCCGCGGUCAUACGUAGGAUCCGAGCAUUAACCGGAGUGACUGGGUGUAAAGAGUUGCGUAGGUGGCAUAAUAAGUAGCUAGUGAAAUCUGGUGGCUCAACCAUUCAGACUAUUAGCUAAACUGUUAAGCUCGAGACCGUUAGGGGUAACUGGAAUUUCUAGUGUAGGAGUGAAAUCCGUAGAUAUUAGAAGGAACACCAAUAGCGUAGGCAGGUUGCUGGGACGGUUCUGACACUAAGGCACGAAAGCGUAGGGAGCAAACGGGAUGAGAUACCCUAGUAGUC
rnacentral:rRNA from 1 species